rnacentral:rRNA from 1 species
AGAGCGAACGCUGGCGGCAGGCUUAACACAUGCAAGUCGAGCGGGCGUAGCAAUACGUCAGCGGCAGACGGGUGAGUAACGCGUGGGAACAUACCUUUUGGUUCGGAACAACACAGGGAAACUUGUGCUAAUACCGGAUAAGCCCUUACGGGGAAAGAUUUAUCGCCGAAAAGAUUGGCCCGCGUCUGAUUAGCUAGUUGGUGAGGUAAUGGCUCACCAAGGCGACGAUCGGUAGCUGGUCUGAGAGGACGAUCAGCCACACUGGGAUUGAGAACGGCCCAGACUCCUACGGGGGGCAGCAGUGAGGAAUUUUCGGCAAUGGGGGCAACCCUGACCGAGCAACGCCGCGUGCAGGAGGAAGGUCUUCGGAUCGUAAAACUGCUUUUCUGUGGGAAGAGGAACGGACGGUAACCACAGGAAGAAGCCCCGGCUAACUACGUGCCAGCAGCCGC